rnacentral:lncRNA from 1 species
UUUCAACGCUGCAGAAUUCUUUUUCAGAACUUUGAUAUCUUCCUACAAUUCUUCUUGAGAUUUACUCUACUAAUCAAAACCCAUCACCACGAACCUCUAAGUAUUUCUCCACCUCAGUUUCUGUUGAAACUGCUGUAAUACAAUGUCCUGGAUUCCUAGGAGCCCAACUGUUUAAGUGAAUUAUCUUUGAGACAGCACCCUCGGUGUUUCUGGGGGAAGUCACCUACACAUGAGCUCAGCGGACAGCGACAUCCUGCCCGGCUCGAUGGCCCAGGCCAUCACUGCAGCGCAUCGGUCUUCCUCUGUCCUCUGCACAUGACUCAUUUCACUCCCGCUGCUGUCUGAUGACACCAUCGCCCAAGCGCACGGGCAAGCUGCUUUUCUGAUUUACAGGAUAGAGACCUUAGAAUUAGAAGAGUGGAGGGAGCCCCAACUCGCCG